CACGUAGGGUGCGAGCGUUGUCCGGAAUUACUGGGCGUAAAGCGUGCGCAGGCGGUGAUGUAAGACAGUUGUGAAAUCCCCGGGCUCAACCUGGGAACUGCAUCUGUGACUGCAUCGCUGGAGUGCGGCAGAGGGGGAUGGAAUUCCGCGUGUAGCAGUGAAAUGCGUAGAUAUGCGGAGGAACACCGAUGGCGAAGGCAAUCCCCUGGGCCUGCACUGACGCUCAUGCACGAAAGCGUGGGGAGCAAACAGG
rnacentral:rRNA from 1 species